GUGCCAGCCGCCGCGGUAAUACCGGCAGCCCGAGUGAUGGCCGAUCUUAUUGGGCCUAAAGCGUCCGUAGCUGGCUGCGCAAGUCCGUCGGGAAAUCCACCUGCCCAACAGGUGGGCGCCCGGUAGAAACUGCGUGGCUUGGGACCGGAAGGCGCGACGGGUACGUCCGGGGUAGGAGUGAAAUCCCGUAAUCCUGGACGGACCGCCGAUGGCGAAAGCACGUCGCGAGAACGGAUCCGACAGUGAGGGACGAAAGCCAGGGUCUCGAACCGGAUUAGAAACCCCAGUAGUCC
rnacentral:rRNA from 1 species